AUACUUCCUGGCAGGGGAGAAAUCAUGAUCACAAAGGUGGUCUAUCCUAGACAAGGUUUAUUGAUUGCAUUCCUCUAGAUGUGCUGACCCCAGUCAUUUUUUCCAAAUCUGGGGAACUCCACAGAAUAAUUUGUGGUAGUGUGGGACUGUGCUUGUGCUUUCCCUUG